rnacentral:rRNA from 1 species
CACGCAGGCGGUUUGUUAAGUCAGAUGUGAAAUCCCCGGGCUCAACCUGGGAACUGCAUCUGAUACUGGCAAGCUUGAGUCUCGUAGAGGGGGGUAGAAUUCCAGGUGUAGCGGUGAAAUGCGUAGAGAUCUGGAGGAAUACCGGUGGCGAAGGCGGCCCCCUGGACGAAGACUGACGCUCAGGUGCGAAAGCGUGGGGAGCAAACAGGAUUAGAUACCCUGGUAGUCCACGCCGUAAACGAUGUCGACUUGGAGGUUGUGCCCUUGAGGCGUGGCUUCCGGAGCUAACGCGUUAAGUCGACCGCCUGGGGAGUACGGCCGCAAGGUUAAAACUCAAAUGAAUUGACGGGGGCCCGCACAAGCGGUGGAGCAUGUGGUUUAAUUCGAUGCAACGCGAAGAACCUUACCUGGUCUUGACAUCCACGGAAGUUUUCAGAGAUGAGAAUGUGCCUUCGGGAACCGUGAGACAGGUGCUGCAUGGCUGUCGUCAGCUCGUGUUGUGAAAAGUUGGGUUAAGUCCCGCAACGAGCGCAACCCUUA